GCCGGGCGUGGUGGCGGGCGCCUGUAGUCCCAGCUACUCGGAGGCUGAGGCGGGAGAAUGGUGUGAGCCCGGGAGGUGGAGCUUGCAGUGAGCCGAGAUCGCGCCACUGCACUCCAGCCUGGGCGACAGAGCGAGACUCCGUCUCAA
ensembl:misc_RNA Metazoa_SRP Metazoan signal recognition particle RNA